rnacentral:rRNA from 1 species
GAUGAACGCUGGCGGCGUGCUUAACACAUGCAAGUCGAACGAUGAAGCCCAGCUUGCUGGGUGGAUUAGUGGCGAACGGGUGAGUAACACGUGAGUAACCUGCCCUUAACUCUGGGAUAAGCCUGGGAAACUGGGUCUAAUACCGGAUAGGAGCGUCCACCGCAUGGUGGGUAUUGGAAAGAUUUAUCGGUUUUGGAUGGACUCGCGGCCUAUCAGCUUGUUGGUGAGGUAAUGGCUCACCAAGGCGACGACGGGUAGCCGGCCUGAGAGGGUGACCGGCCACACUGGGACUGAGACACGGCCCAGACUCCUACGGGAGGCAGCAGUGGGGAAUAUUGCACAAUGGGCGCAAGCCUGAUGCAGCGACGCCGCGUGAGGGAUGACGGCCUUCGGGUUGUAAACCUCUUUCAGUAGGGAAGAAGCGAAAGUGACGGUACCUGCAGAAGAAGCACCGGCUAACUACGUG